GACGAACGCUGGCGGCGUGCUUAACACAUGCAAGUCGAACGGAAAGGCCCUGCUUUUUUGGGGUGCCCGAGUGGCGAACGGGUGAGUAACACGUGAGUAACCUGCCCUUGACUUUGGGAUAACUUCAGGAAACUGGGGCUAAUACCGGACAGCAUCCCCUGCUGCAUGGAGGGGGUUGGAAAGUUUCGGCGGUUGGGGAUGGACUCGCGGCUGAUCAGCUUGUUGGUGGGGUAGUGGCUUACCCAGGCUUUGACCGGUACCCGGCAUGAGAGGGUGACCGGCGACAUUGGGACUGAGAGACGGCCCAGAGUGCUACGGGAGGCAGAAGUGGGGAAUAUUGCACAAUGGGAGGAAGCCUGAUGCAGCAACGCCGCGUGCGGGAUGACGGCCUUCGGGUUGUAAAACGCUUUCGGCUGUGACGAAGCGUGAGUGACGGUAAUGGGUAAAGAAGCACCGGCUAACUACGUG
rnacentral:rRNA from 1 species